rnacentral:rRNA from 1 species
CACGUAGGGUGCGAGCGUUGUCCGGAAUUACUGGGCGUAAAGGGCUCGUAGGCGGCCAACUAAGUCAGACGUGAAAUCCCCAGGCUCAACCUGGGAACUGCGUCUGAUACUGGAUGGCUUGAAUCCGGGAGAGGGAUGCAGAAUUCCAGGUGUAGCGGUGAAAUGCGUAGAUAUCUGGAGGAAUACCGGUGGCGAAGGCGGCAUCCUGGACCGGCAUUGACGCUGAGGAGCGAAAGCUAGGGGAGCAAACGGG